CAAUAGCGUAUAUUUAAGUUGCUGCAGUUAAAAAGCUCGUAGUUGGAUUUCGGGUGGGAAUGGCCGGUCCGCCGUUUCGGUGUGCACUUGCUACGCCCACCUUGCUGCCGGGGACGUGCUCUUGAGUUCACGCUCGGGACACGGAGUCGGCGAGGUUACUUUGAGUAAAUUAGAGUGUUCAAAGCAGGCCUACGCUCUGAAUACAUUAGCAUGGAAUAACACGAUAGGACUCUGGCCUAUCUUGUUGGUCUGUAGGACCGGAGUAAUGAUUAAGAGGGACAGUCGGGGGCAUUCGUAUUUCAUUGUCAGAGGUGAAAUCCUUGGAUUUAUGAAAGACGAACUACUGCGAAAGCAUUUGCCAAGGAUGUUUUCAUUAA
rnacentral:rRNA from 1 species